rnacentral:rRNA from 1 species
GAGUUUGAUCCUGGCUCAGAACGAACGCUGGCGGCGUGGAUAAGACAUGCAAGUCGAACGGGAUUUUUUCCUGUAGCAAUACAGGAAAAAGUCUAGUGGCGAACGGGUGCGUAACACGUGAGCAACCUGCCGUGAAGUGGGGGAUAGCUCGCCGAAAGGCGAAUUAAUACCGCAUGUGGCCAAGGAAGACAUCUUCCUGACGCCAAAGCCGGGGUAACCUGGCGCUUCUCGAGGGGCUCGCGGCCUAUCAGCUUGUUGGUGAGGUAACGGCUCACCAAGGCUAUGACGGGUAGCUGGUCUGAGAGGACGACCAGCCACACUGGAACUGAGACACGGUCCAGACACCUACGGGUGGCAGCAGUCGAGAAUUUUUCACAAUGGGGGAAACCCUGAUGGAGCGACGCCGCGUGGAGGAUGAAGGUUUUCGGAUCGUAAACUCCUGUCAUUAGAGAACAAGGCACAUGGUUUAACUGGCCGUGUGUUGAUAGUAUCUGAAGAGGAAGGGACGGCUAACUCUGUGCCAGCAGCCGCGGUAAUACAGAGGUCUCAGGCGUUGUUCGGAUUCAUUGGGCGUAAAGGGUGCGUAGGUGGCGAGGUAAGUCGGAUGUGAAAUCUCCAAGCUCAACUUAGAAACUGCAUUCGAUACUGCUUUGCUAGAGGAUUGUAGAGGGCAUUGGAAUUCACGGUGUAGCAGUGAAAUGCGUAGAUAUCGUGAGGAAGACCAGUGGCGAAGGCGAAUGCCUGGGCAAUUCCUGACACUGAGGCACGAAGGCCAGGGGAGCAAACGGGAUUAGAUACCCCGGUAGUCCUGGCAGUAAACGGUGCACGUUUGGUGUGGGAGGAUUCGACCCCUUCCGUGCCGGAGCUAACGCGUUAAACGUGCCGCCUGGGGAGUACGGUCGCAAGAUUAAAACUCAAAGAAAUUGACGGGGACCCGCACAAGCGGUGGAGUAUGUGGCUUAAUUCGAUGCAACGCGAAGAACCUUACCUGGCCUUGACAUGCAUCUCUAAUCCGGUGAAAGCCGGUGAGUGUAGCAAUACACAAUUUGCACAGGUGCUGCAUGGCUGUCGUCAGCUCGUGUCGUGAGAUGUUGGGUUAAGUCCCGCAACGAGCGCAACCC